GGACUGUGGCUCACUGGUAGAGCGCUUGCCUAGCAUGCAUGAGGCACUGGGUUCGACCCUCAGCAUCA
rnacentral:tRNA from 1 species